CUGAAAUUCGUUAUUCCGCACGAGCGCAACCCACACCCUUAGUUGCCAGCAUUCAGUUGGGCACUCUAAGGGGAACUGCCCGUGAUAAGCGGGAGGAAGGUGUGGAUGACAUCAAGUCCUCAUGGCCCUUACAGGUUGGGCUACACACGUGCUACAAUGGCAGUGACAAUGGGUUAAUCCCAAAAAGCUGUCUCAGUUCGGAUUGGGGUCUGCAACUCGACCCCAUGAAGUCGGAAUCGCUAGUAAUCGCGUAACAGCAUGACGCGGUGAAUACGUUCCCGGGCCUU
rnacentral:rRNA from 1 species